GAUGAACGCUGGCGGCGUGCCUAAUACAUGCAAGUCGAGCGGAAAGACGCGGAGCUUGCUGCGCUGACGUUAGCGGCACACGGGUGUGAAACACGUGGAUACCCUACCUGUCAGACUGGGAUCACUUCGGGACACCGGCGAUAAUACCGGAUAAUAUAUUGAAGCGCAUGGUUCGUUAGUGAGUGUCGGUUUUGCGGUCUCUUCUAGAUGGAUCUGCGCCGAAUUGGCUAGUUGGUACGGUCACGGGUUACCAAGGCAAGGAUGCGUAGCCGACCUGUGAGCGGGAUAGCCCACACUGGAACUUAGCCACGGUCAUGACUCCUACGGUACGCAGCAGUAUGGAAUCGUCCGCAAUGGUCGAGAGCCUGACGGAGCAGCGCCGCGCGAGUUAUGAAGGCCUUGCGAUCGGAAAAACGUGUUAUGAGUUAAGAACAAAUGUGUAAGUAACUAUGCACUUCGUGACGGUACCGAAUCAGGAAGCAACGGCUAACUACGUG
rnacentral:rRNA from 1 species